rfam:Enterobius vermicularis genome assembly, scaffold: EVEC_contig0000583
UGCUCGACGCCUGGAACUUUGACUCAACCUUAGUGUGCUGUGCGUAGGUGAGCAAAGUUUCAGGUGUUCGAGCGC